rnacentral:snRNA from 1 species
AGCUUUGUGCAGUGGUGGUGUCGUAGCCAAUGAGGUUUAUUCUAGGCAUGAUUAUUGAUAAUUGAAAAUCACUGUAUCACUGUCAUCCUGUUCAUCAUCGAUUUGCUCAAGUGGGC